AGCACAAAACUACGCGCGGGACUUUCCGUAGUUCCCACGCGGGCGCACCGCGUUUACUUUCAUUCGUCUACCUAUCUUAUCUAUCACUAUAUAAAGAUUCGCGCGAAAUCUAGUGGAAUAUUCACUGCUGCCCUGAUUCUUCCCCUCUCGCGCAUCGCGUAAUUCCCGAGAACGCGGCUGUUCUCAGCCUGGACGCCUUGAAGUUGAGCCUUCAGGCCGCCGAGUCCCCGCCUCGCAGGGCGCGGCGCCUCCACCGGGGGCAGGAACUCGCUCCUGCGGGAGCGCGGGCGGCCACUGCGGCCUCUGCGCCUCCGCCGACCUCGGCCGCCCGGGACAGCGGCUGCUGCGAGAAGGGAAGGAGCCCGCCGGCCUGCAGCUUUGGAGCCAGCCGACCGACCCUGCCCCUGCGGCCCGGCUGUUCUGAAGGUGCUGCGCGGCUACCGGCGCGGGACCAAGGCCUCCCUGCGUAAAGACUGGGUCUCCUGAAGGCGGGGGUUUCGUACCCACGCCCAGGCACUACCCGCGCUUCCUGCCACCCGUAGGUGCUUCAGAAUUCCAGGCCCUGGGGGUGGAUUUGGCUCCUCCUGCACCGGAACCACCAAAAUCUCCAUUUGGGAUUUCCAGAGUGAACAAGCGCUUAGAGUCUUUUGAUAAAUGCUGGAUUUAAAACAUACAUUUUUGAGCCAUU